UCCGAGAUAGUAAAGUGGCUAGUAUUUUCGCCUGUCACGAGGAAGACCCGGGUUCAUUUCCCGGUCUCCGAG